CACCAACCUCCAGCUCAGCCAUGGCUCAGCCACAACCUACAUAAAUCCUCUGAUGUCAUUAAUUGAAUUUAAGCAGAGCCUCAGCCCUGAAAUGUGUUCAAGAGUAAACAUCAUUCUUUAUAUAGACUUGAAGAAGAAGUAACUGAAGCAAACAUCACGUGACUCUGAGCCUUUGAAAGCUAAUAUUUAGCAACCUCUUGUGUUCUUCACUUUCAAAAUAUUUGUCUCGGGAAAUAAUGUGAGAACGAGUUUGUCAAGGGGAAGUCAAAGUGGACAAAGCCCAAUACUCAGCGUCCCCCUCCAAGGCUGUUUGAGCAGGGACUGGAUCACAC
rnacentral:lncRNA from 1 species